AACGAACGUUAGCGGCGCGCCUAACACAUGCAAGUCGAACGCGAGAGGGGCAACUCUCUUGAGUGGCGCACGGGUGAGUAACACGUAGGUAAUCUUCCCCCGAGUGGUGGAUAACCUUCCGAAAGGAGGGCUAAUACAGCAUCAGACCACGGCCUUGGCAGAGGCUGAGGUCAAAGCGGAGGAUCGCAAGACUUCGCGCUUGGGGAUGAGUCGGCGGCCCAUCAGGUAGUUGGCGGGGUAACAGCCCACCAAGCCUACAACGGGUAGAUGGUCAGAGAGGAGGAUCAGGCACACUGGAACUGAGACACAGUCCAGAGUCAGACGGGAGGCAGCAGUGGGGAAUCUUGCGCAAUGGACGAAAGUCUGACGCAGCGACGCCGCGUGGGUGAUGAAGGCCUUCGGGUUGUAAAGCCCUGUGGGGAGGGACAAAUAAGUUCCGGUUAAUACCCGGAGCGAUGACGGUACCUCCUUAGCAAGCACCGGCUAACUCUGUGCCAGCAGCCGCUGUAAGAC
rnacentral:rRNA from 1 species